AGUGAACGCUGGCGGUAGGCCUAACACAUGCCAGUCGAACGGCAGCACAGUAAGAGCUUGCUCUUACGGGUGGCGAGUGGCGGACGGGUGAGGAAUACAUCGGAAUCUACUUUUUCGUGGGGGAUAACGUAGGGAAACUUACGCUAAUACCGCAUACGACCUACGGGUGAAAGCAGGGGAUCUUCGGACCUUGCGCGAUUGAUUGAGCCGAUGUCGGAUUAGCUAGUUGGCGGGGUAAAGGCCCACCAAGGCGACGAUCCGUAGCUGGUCUGAGAGGAUGAUCAGCCACACUGGAACUGAGACACGGUCCAGACUCCUACGGGAGGCAGCAGUGGGGAAUAUUGGACAAUGGGCGCAAGCCUGAUCCAGCCAUACCGCGUGGGUGAAGAAGGCCUUCGGGUUGUAAAGCCCUUUUGUUGGGAAAGAAAAGCAGCAGGUUAAUACCCCGCUGUUCUGACGGUACCCAAAGAAUAAGCACCGGCUAACUUCGUG
rnacentral:rRNA from 1 species